rnacentral:rRNA from 1 species
AUUGAACGCUGGCGGCAGGCCUAACACAUGCAAGUCGAGCGGAUGAAGGGAGCUUGCUCCUGGAUUCAGCGGCGGACGGGUGAGUAAUGCCUAGGAAUCUGCCUGGUAGUGGGGGAUAACGUCCGGAAACGGGCGCUAAUACCGCAUACGUCCUGAGGGAGAAAGUGGGGGAUCUUCGGACCUCACGCUAUCAGAUGAGCCUAGGUCGGAUUAGCUAGUUGGUGGGGUAAAGGCCUACCAAGGCGACGAUCCGUAACUGGUCGAAAAGGAUGAUCAGUCACACGGGAACUGAGACACGGUCCAGACUCCUACGGGAGGCGGCAGUGGGGAAUAUUGGACAAAGGGCGAAAGCCUGAUCCAGCCAUGCCGCGUGUGUGAAGAAGGUCUUCGGAUUGUAAAGCACUUUAAGUUGGGAGGAAGGGCAGUAAGUUAAUACCUUGCUGUUUUGACGUUACCAACAGAAUAAGCACCGGCUAACUUCGUG